UACGUAGGGCGCAAGCGUUGUCCGGAUUUAUUGGGCGUAAAGAGCUCGUAGGCGGUCUGUCGCGUCGGCUGUGAAACCCCGAGGCUCAACCUCGGGCCUGCAGUCGAUACGGGCAGACUAGAGUGUGGUAGGGGAGACUGGAAUCCUGGUGUAGCGGUGAAAUGCGCAGAUAUCAGGAGGAACACCGAUGGCGAAGGCAGGUCUCUGGGCCGAUACUGACGCUGAGGAGCGAAAGCGUGGGGAGCAAACAGG
rnacentral:rRNA from 1 species